rnacentral:rRNA from 1 species
UACCUGGUUGAUCCUGCCAGUAGUCAUAUGCUUGUCUCAAAGACUAAGCCAUGCAUGUCUAAGUAUAAGUGUUAUACAGCGAAACUGCGAAUGGCUCAUUAAAACAGUUAUAGUUUAUUUGAUAAUCGAAUUUACAUGGAUAACCGUGGUAAUUCUAGAGCUAAUACAUGCUGGUGUGCCCGACUUUUGCGGAAGGGCGGUAUUUAUUAGAUAACAAGCCAAUAUUCCUCUGGUCUAUUGUGGUGACUCAUAAUAACUGAUCGAAUCGCAAGGCCUAUGGCCGCGAUAAGUCAUUCAAGUUUCUGCCCCAUCAGCUUUCGAUGGUAGUGUAUUGGACUACCAUGGCGUUUACGGGUAACGGAGGAUUAGGGUUCGAUUCCGGAGAGGGAGCCUGAGAAACGGCUACCACAUCUAAGGAAGGCAGCAGGCGCGUAAAUUACCCAAUCCUGACUCAGGGAGGUAGUGACAAGAAAUAACGGACCGGGACCCUUUGGGUCCUCGGGAUUGCAAUGAGCCGAAUUUACACCCCUUAGCGAGGAUCAAUUGGAGGGCAAGUCUGGUGCCAGCAGCCGCGGUAAUUCCAGCUCCAAUAGC